GAUCCUCUACUUUACGUGCACAUUAAUCUCUGGAGAAAAGAGGGAUAAAUAUCUUCUUCAGAGAGGAGAGAGAAGAACACUUGAGAUCUGAUCUCAAGUUCUUGGAACAGCCUACACGCCACCACAAAGGGAGGGAAGAUGCCAAGAGGAGAGAGACACCCAGUGAUAAGUGAUGCCUAAGAGAGAGAGGAUGCCCAUACUAGAGGAUCUCCAUGCCAAGCCUAGGAUUGAUUCCUUAUUUCUCUUCUCCACACCCCUCAUUAUAUAGGCAAGAGGUUUUAGAUCAAAUCAAACUCCUUUGGAUGUUAGAAAAAAGACUCUCCAUAUUUAAAUUAAAUCCAAACUCCCUAAAGCACAAAGAAUUCUAAUUUAAGUAGGAGAGGUGCCUCCCUUCAUUAUGGCAUAUGUCCAUGAGGAAGGGGUUGGAAAUGCCUCCCUUCAUUAUGGCGUACGUCCAAGAGGAAGGGACUAUUUCCAGCCCCUUCCAACCACC
rnacentral:lncRNA from 1 species